GGUAUGUUAGCUCAGUGGUUUGAGCGCGGUGCUGGCAACAGUGACAACACCAAGGUCGCGGGUUCGAUUCCCGCUCGGUCCC
rfam:Apaloderma vittatum contig12619, whole genome shotgun sequence.